rnacentral:rRNA from 1 species
CAUCUUCGGGGGUAGAGCACUGUUUCGGCUAGGGGGUCAUCCCGACUUACCAACCCGAUGCAAACUACGAAUACCGAAGAAUGUUAUCACGGGAGACACACGGCGGGUGCUAACGUCCGUCGUGAAGAGGGAAACAACCCAGACCGCCAGCUAAGGUCCCAAAGUCAUGGUUAAGUGGGAAACGAUGUGGGAAGGCACAGACAGCCAGGAUGUUGGCUUAGAAGCAGCCAUCAUUUAAAGAAAGCGUAAUAGCUCACUGGUCGAGUCGGCCUGCGCGGAAGAUGUAACGGGGCUAAACCAUGCACCGAAGCUGCGGCAGCGACACUAUGUGUUGUUGGGUAGGGGAGCGUUCUGUAAGCCUGCGAAGGU